AAGUUCCCAGGCCAGGGAUCAAAUCUGUGUCACAGGUGCAACCUACACACAGCUGUGAAAAUGCUGGAUCAAUGACCCACUGUACCAGGCUGGGGAUAGAACUCACACUUCUCAGCAGUGACUCAAGCUACUGUAGAGAUAAUGCUGGAUCCUUAACCACUGUGCCACAGUGGGAACUCCUAUUUUUAGUUUUUUGAGAAACUCAUGUACUGUUUUCCACAGUGGCUGCAUCAAUUUACAUUUCUAGUGACAGUGUCCAAGGGGUCCCUUUUCUCCCCAUCCUUGCCAACAUUUGAUAUUUGUAUACUUUUUAAUGAUAACCAUUUUGACAGGUGUGAGGCAAUAUUUAUUUGUGAUUUUAAUUUCCAUUUCCCUGAUGAUUAGCAGUGUUAAACAUCUUUUCAUGUGUUUGUUGGUCAUUUGCACUUUUCCUUUAGAAAAAAAAUCUGUUCUGGUCUUCUAAUGAUUUUUUAAAUUGGGUUUUUUUGACAGUUUUGUAUGAACUAUUUAUAUAUUUUGGAUAUUAACCUUUUAUCAGUCAUUUGCAAAUAUUUUGUUCCAUUCAGUUGCCUUUUCAUUUUGCUGAUGCUCUCCUCUUCUGUGCAAGAGCUUUUAAGUUAAAGUAAGCCCCAUUUGUUUAUUUUUUAUUUUAUUUCCUUUGCUUUAGGAGACAGAUCCACCCAAAAUUAUUGUUAUGCUGGUCUGGCAAUUGAUUUUAUGGUGGGAUGAAAUGAGCAUCAGGAUACAUGCUUAUUGCACGAUGGUGUGUUCCCCUUAAAUGGUCCUGACUUUUCCCAUCAGUGCUCACUCCAACUCCAUAUUCUCCACUCACUCAAUAUUUCUCUUCCCUAAAAGUCCAUUUCAGAAGCCCAGAAUAGAGUAAAUCCAUGGACAUGUGUUAUUUCAAGAGAUUUAAAUAGCUCACUUUGACUAUCUCCAGAGUCAUGGCUAGAAAGGGGAUCGUGACUUUGGUGAAAUGGACCCAAAUCAACUUUCUGGGAGAAUGUUCAAUAUAUAUGAUGAAACAUUCUGCUUAACAUCUUUGGAGCUGAAAAACAAAUUGCAGUAUCUGAGGACCACUGCCUAACUGGCCUAGCUCUAAGAGGAAAAGAUAGGCAGUAGCUGAGGAUAGCUGGGGCUGAAAGGAGACUUCAGUGUGGUAUUUCUAGUUUACUGUGACCCAGCCAAGACACCACUGAUGACUGUCUUAUGUUAUCCUCCUGAACCAGCCAGUCCAGGAGGUGGAGGACAAGAGCGUGGUGAGAUCCAGCAGGAAUACUGCAGCAGAAAGAGGCCUCUUAAAUCUGAUCCAGGUUCAGCAUCAGCUUUGGUUUUUACAAGUGACCUUAGGUAAUUGACUUAAAGGUGAUCUCUGUGUUGUUUGUAUGAGGUGCCUUGUCUUAACUCUGGGAUGGGUUCCCUAGAAGCAGAGCCAGAGAGGAUUCUUGUGAAAGUGACUUAGUAAGAAGACCUAAGAGGAAGAACCUCUAUCGGACGUAAGGAAAGCAGGAUAGAGCAAGAGAAGUUCACAGAUAUAGUUUCAGCUGAGGUCACAGCUCAGCCUCAGUUCUCUGAAUAGCACCGGAGGAUAAAUGGUAUCAGAGUUGUCCUACACUGAGGACUUCCUACUUCCACCUGCUGGUUCCCAGAUCCAUGCAUUUCACCAGCGGGAACCCAGCGGCAUGUGGUGGCUAUUGGUUCAAAGUGAUUACUGUGUCUAGAGGGAGAGGGCCCCCUGCUUGCUGGUUUCUCAAGGUGGCACUUCAGUCACCUCACUUCAUGUGGUUGUUUGACUGCUGUACCAGGCCAGCAACUUCUGGGUGGUACAUUAUGUGGUGUGGUCACUGGGUCCAAGGGACAUGCACACAUGUAGAUUUGACCUUCACUCCUGGUACCAAGUGCCUUAGGUCAGGUUCUCUAAGCACAAGGAUUCUUGUGCAGAUGGUUUGCUGAGAGAGGACUUUCAGAAGAAAUUUGUAAGGAGGUGAGGGAGCAAGGCAGGGCAGGGGGAGAAGGUAAGCAGAGAUGUGGUUUUAGCUAAAGUUGAUUUUAGCAUGAUCACUAAGGGAGCUCUGGAGCUGAAUGCACCAUAAAAUUGUCCUACUCUGAGGCCAGGGAUCCAUGCUCUUGAAUCCCAAUAUAAAUCUUGGGCCACAUCUGUGGAUAGCAUUUCCAGAGGAGGUAUUUUCAUUAGCUGAGGGAAAUUUCCUAAAGAAAUGUAUAUUUAUGAGCUAUUGGCAUCCCGCACUCACAUAAGCUGGGGAAUGUUCAUGCUGAUUUAGGAAAGAUCUGGGUUAGGCCAUAACAGUUGACUCUACCAUAUCUUAUAACCUUCUAUGAAAGGUUUGGAUUAACUUGAGGAUUGUCACAGCCACUGAGUUUGAAGUUCCUCCAUCCAAACUUCCAAUAUGGGAAAUCUAGCCGACUGUCAGAUUACUCUUUGACUACAACUUCUGUCCAACGAGCCAACAUAAUUACUGUGUCUUGACUAGGACAGACAUCAUGCUAUGCUUUGGGGAUAUGAAAAUGAGUCAGACAAUCUUGGUCUUAUAAGCACUCUAUUUCCAGUACUAUAUAGACAGCAUUAGCUAAGAUUUAUAGAGCAACUCAAGUCUCAGAGUCAUCUCAGAGUCAGCUGUAAUCUCAAAAACAUUCAUUGGGAUAGGGCAUUAUAUAUCAUAGCCACCAGAUCUUUCCAUAUCUCUGCCCAUGAUGUGUGCCUCUGUCAGAUCCCUGAUCUGAUCAUUCUGGGUGAUCCGGCUUCUGUGCUGAGGCUGCCUCUGCUGAUGAAGUCCACAAAAGUAGUCAUGAUAGCAGCUUACAUGGGAGUGGGGGCACUUAAAGCAUGUUAUUUAACAUGAUAAACAACCCUAUACUGAAGUUUCUCACAGUACGGUCCACUUCAAAUUGCUGAGGGUACUUUUUGUAACACUGGGUUUAAGGCCUUGCCUCGGAAUUUUCUAAUCAGAAUCUGCAGGGUUGAGGAAUCUGCAUUUUGAAGUACUCCCUGAAAUUAUGUCUACUUAAGUGAGAAUAACUCACUAGAAGGUAAUUUAUAUUUCUCUUUUCAGUGUCAGAUGACAAAGAUUUGAUGCAAGUGGUUUAUUUGGGAGGAACACUGGCAGGGGAAUGAAGAAGUGACACAGGGAAUACACUUAAUAAUGGUUGUUUGAAGUUAGUUACCAAUAUGGGUGGCUCAGAGAUGGUGGCACACAUCCCCCAGGACUAACCAAGAAUGGCAGAGAGUGGGGAUAAACUACCCCAGCUCCCUUGCCUCAGUUAGGAUAAGGACUGCUUCCUGAUUGGUGAUCAGUCUCUAGCACAUCCAGCUUGCCAUGUGUGUGUCAGCAGAGCAGCCAUCUGGAAAUCAUAGAGAUGCAGAUACUAGAAGAUAGAAGCUGCUUGUAGCACAAUAAAACAACAAAUUCUGAGAGAUAAAGGGGGCACUGACAAUGUCUGCUUCACUCUCUUCCCACUUUAUCCUAGAGAGACUAUUCAUACUAGAUGCACCAUCUCAAUACUUACAUGCAUCAUAUGGGCAGUCAUAUCUAGUUUAAAGGUGGAUGAGAUCAAGAGGACUUGUCUUGAAGCAGUCUUGGCAUGGCAAGAAACCUGUCUUGUCUUAGGUGGUAUGCUGCUUUAAGUAAUGGCCUGAGGGCAGGAGGAAUCAGAGAAUAUGGUAGGGGAGAAAACCUACUGCUGGAAGCCCUGCCUUUGUGUUCCUGCUACCUAUGGUCAAAAU
rnacentral:lncRNA from 1 species